UUGUUGGUGGUCGAGUGGCAAGGACACUUGCCUCUCACCCUGGAAUCCUGGGUUCGGUUCCCGGUCGAAGAG